UGAGUACGAGAUGCUACGGCAUCGAAGCAGUCUAUGUCAUACUUCCAAGAAAAGCUUGCACUGUCAUAAACAAUAAAUGCCUGUACCAUAACCGACACAGGUGGGUAGGUAGAGUAUACUAAGGGGCGCGAGAUAACUCUCUCUAAGGAACUCGGCAAAAUGACUCCGUAACUUCGGGAGAAGGAGUGCCUUAUUUAUAAGGUUGCAAUAACAAGAUCCAAGCAACUGUUUACCAAAAACACAGGUCUCCGCGAAGUCGUAAGACGAUGUAUGGGGGCUGACGCCUGCCCAGUGCCAGAAGGUUAAAGAAGUUGGUUAGCACUCGCGAAGCUGAUAACUGAAGCCCUGGUGAACGGCGGCCGUAACGAUAACGGUCCUAAGGUAGCGAAAUUCCUUGUCGGGUAAGUUCCGACCCGCACGAAAGGCGUAAUGAUUUGGAUACUGUCUCGGAGAGGGGCUCGGUGAAAUAGACUUGUCUGUGAAGAUGCGGACUACCUGCACCUGGACAGAAAGACCCUAUGAAGCUUUACUGUAACUUGAAAUUGAAAUUGGACUUUAUUUGCGCAGUAUAGGUGGGAGGCAUUGAGAAUAAUCUUGCGGGAUUAUUGGAGCCAUCAGUGAGAUACCACUCUUGUAAUGUUAGAUUUCUAACUUUGUAUCAUUAUCUGGUCAAAGAACAGUUUCAGGCGGGCAGUUUGACUGGGGCGGUCGCCUCCCAAACGGUAACGGAGGCGCACAAAGGUUUCCUCUGAACGGGUAGAAAUCGUAUCUAGAGUGUAAAGGCAUAAGGAAGCUUGACUGUGAGACCUACAAGUCGAGCAGGGACGAAAGUCGGUCUUAGUGAUCUGACGGUGCUGAGUGGAAAGGCCGUCACUCAACGGAUAAAAGUUACUCUAGGGAUAACAGGCUGAUCUCCCCCAAGAGUUCACAUCGACGGGGAGGUUUGGCACCUCGAUGUCAGCUCAUCGCAUCCUGGGGCGGUAGUACGUCCCAAGGGUUGGGCUGUUCGCCCAUGAAAGCGGUACGCGAGCUGGGUUCAGAACGUCGUGAGACAGCUGUCCAUAUCCGGUGUAGGCGUUAGAAUAUUGAGAGGAGCCUUCUCUAGUACGAGAGGACCGAGAAGGACAUACCUCUGGUGUACCAGUUAUCGUGCCAACGGUAAACGCUGGGUAGCUAUGUGUGGAGUGGAUAACCGCUGAAAGCAUCUAAGUGGGAAGCCCACCUCAAGAUAAGUAUUCUC
rnacentral:rRNA from 1 species